UUAAGUUUAGCGGGUAUCCCCACUUGAUCCGAGGCCAUGCUUGACGGUUUUUGGCGUUUCGCCGCGGUCCUUAGUCGCAUUUUGUUGCGGUUCAGGCACGACAGACGCCCAGGUGUUUGGAGGGUUCCUUUGCAGGAAAUCUCAACGCAAGGCAAAGCCUUAUAACACAACCGGCGCUCGAACAAGUGUACUCCAAGGAA
rnacentral:misc_RNA from 1 species